rnacentral:lncRNA from 1 species
UAAAAAUAAAAGAAAAAAUAAAUAAAUAUAAAGAGUAUAAUGGAUAAAUAUAAAUCAUAUUUUAUAUUUAAAUAUAAUUUUAAAAAAUUAUAGUAUGUGGAAGUUAAUAAUAGAAAGUGGAAGUAUUGAAUGGGUUAAUAUUAAGUGAAAGUUAUUGCCGCAAGUUAUAUAAAUAUUUUUCUUUUAUAGACAACAUGUAACAACAAAUUUUAUCCAUUAAAAAUAAAA